AUUGAACGCUGGCGGCAGGCCUAACACAUGCAAGUCGAACGGUAACAGGAAGCAGCUUGCUGCUUCGCUGACGAGUGGCGGACGGGUGAGUAAUGUCUGGGAAACUGCCUGAUGGAGGGGGAUAACUACUGGAAACGGUAGCUAAUACCGCAUAACGUCGCAAGACCAAAGAGGGGGACCUUAGGGCCUCUUGCCAUCGGAUGUGCCCAGAUGGGAUUAGCUAGUAGGUGGGGUAACGGCUCACCUAGGCGACGAUCCCUAGCUGGUCUGAGAGGAUGACCAGCCACACUGGAACUGAGACACGGUCCAGACUCCUACGGGAGGCAGCAGUGGGGAAUAUUGCACAAUGGGCGCAAGCCUGAUGCAGCCAUGCCGCGUGUAUGAAGAAGGCCUUCGGGUUGUAAAGUACUUUCAGCGGGGAGGAAGGGAGUAAAGUUAAUACCUUUGCUCAUUGACGUUACCCGCAGAAGAAGCGCCUGCUAACUCCGUG
rnacentral:rRNA from 1 species